rnacentral:lncRNA from 10 species
AAUUCAACAUCUUUCAAACCAUCGGCAAUAUUUCUUGUUUUUUUUUUUUCUUUUUUUGAGACAGGGUCUCAUUCUGUUGCUUAGGCUGGAGUGAAGUGGCACAAACACAGCUCACUGCAGCCUUGACCUCGUGGGCUCAAAUGAGCCUCCUGCUUCAGCCCUCUAUGUAGCUGGGACUACAUGGAGUGCGCCACCAUGCCUCAUUUGUUUUUUUGUUUUUUUUUUUUUGUAGAGGCAGGGGUCUCACUCUAUCACCCAGGCUGAAGUGCAGUGGUGUGAUUUCAGCUCACUGCAACCUCUGCCUCCUGGGCUCAAGUGAUCUUCCCACCUCAGCUUCCCAAGUAGCUGGGACCACGGGUGCGCACCACCACACCCAGCUGAUUUUUUGUAUUUUUUGUAGAGACAAGGUUUCACCCUGUUUCCCAGGCCCAAAUUCCUGAGCUCAAGAAAUCUGCCCACCUUGGUCUCCCAAAGUGCUGGGAUUAUAGUUAUGAGCCACCACAACUGGCAGUUCCAGCCAAUAUUUCUUUAAAACUACAUUUCAAUAUAAAUUUUUAAUAUAGAACCAGCUGAGAAUCUUAUGAAAUCUGACAUUCAGUGAAACCAAGUAUUAUUUGUUAGAAUCUAAAUAUUUUUGAAGGCAGACGAAUAUUUGUUUUAAAAGUUAAAAACUCAACAGGAACUAUGUUUUUUAUACACUUUCAUAUAUUCUUCAUUAUUUUUCACUUAUUGAAUUAGAAAACAUACUCUUCAUUUUUAAACAAGCAGGAGCUAUCUUUUGGAUUUUCAUUGCUUAGUACAGGGCCUAUAAUAUAUAGACAAUUAUUUAUAGAAUGAACGAAUAUCUGGGAAUUUGUCCAAUUUUUAGGGAUCCAAAAUUAUUAAAUUUCCUUUGAAUUAUGUCGUUUAAAAAAUAAGCAUAUAGCUAUUAAAAAUGUAAGUGAAAACUGUUUAAUCAUUUUAGAGCAGUCAAAAUACAAUAUAAGAUUGGUAUCUUGUUAUCUGAAAGCAAUCAUUUUACCAUAUGCAUUUUGAUCUUUUACCAUUCAUUUUAAGUUGAUGGUUAAUUUAAAAACUGAGUUUUAAUCAAAGUUGUUUUCAAACAUUGUCAUAAUGUCACUUUGAAGGGUCAUAUCAAUGGUACCCACCAUCUGUAGAAAAAGCAGAAAAUUUUAAUAUUACUUUAAAAAUGUAUGUCUUUACUACAACUAUACAAUAAUGAUUAUGCAACAUUUAGGAACAAAUCAUACAAAAGAAAACUAUUCAAUAAUUUUUUAAUUUUUAUUUUCUC